AUAAUGAUUUUUUUUAAUAAUCCUUAAUAAUAU
rnacentral:tRNA from 1 species